UGGCCCUCUUGACACCACCAGAAACAGGAGCAUCCACCAGCUUCAAAUCUUUGCCUUCAUUUUGCAGUCGCCGAUCUAGUUGGAUCACAAAUCCUGGUGAUACAGUAGAUGAAAGGAUGACGGAUGAUCCUGACGGAAGUGCUGAAACUGCACCAUGAUGUCCAAACAAAACACUCUCAGCUUGAGCUUCAUUUGUAACCA
rnacentral:misc_RNA from 1 species